rnacentral:rRNA from 1 species
UACGUAGGGUGCAAGCGUUAUCCGGAAUUAUUGGGCGUAAAGAGCUCGUAGGCGGUUUGUCGCGUCUGCUGUGAAAACUGGAGGCUCAACCUCCAGCCUGCAGUGGGUACGGGCAGACUAGAGUGCGGUAGGGGAGAUUGGAAUUCCUGGUGUAGCGGUGGAAUGCGCAGAUAUCAGGAGGAACACCGAUGGCGAAGGCGGGUCUCUGGGCCGAUAUUGACGCUGAGGAGCGAAAGCGUGGGGAGCAAACAGG